GUGCUCACUUCCGCAGCUCAUGUACUAAACUUGGAAUAAUACAAAGAUUAGCAUGGCCCCUGCACAAGGAUGACACGCAAAUUUGUGAAGCGUUCCAUAUUUUU